UAUUAUUUUAAUUGUUAAUAAUGUUGCUUGAGUAGUACUAGAUAUGUCCUUUAAACUCAAAGAAUUUGGCGGUAUUAUAGUCUUUCCAGAGGAAUCUGUCCUAUAAUUGAUAAUACACAUUUUAUUUUACUUAAUUUUGUAAAUUUCAGUUUGUAUAUCGUCGUCAUAAGAUUAUCUUUUUAGAGAUCUAAUUUUCUAGAUAUUUAUAUAAUAAGAUGACAGAUCAAGGUGCAGCUUAUGAUUAAGUUGAGAUGGAUUACAAUAAAUUUUAUUUAUCACGGAUAUUUCAUUUUARAUUUAAAUUGAAGGUGGAUUUGGAAGUAAUUUUGUUAUAUUAUGAUAUUAUGAUAUAAGCUCUAGAAUGUGUACAAAUCGCCCGUCGCUCUCAUGGUAAAAUGAG
rnacentral:rRNA from 1 species